UCAAGUGUGGCAUCUGAAUCUACAUUUAGUGCUGGGGGAAGAGUCAUUGAUGAAUAUCGUGCUAGCUUAAAUGAGGAAUCUAUUGAAGCUCUUAUUUGUGGUGGGGAUUGGCUUCGUAACAAAUAUGGGCUGAAGAAAAAACAAAAGAUAUGGGUUAAAAUUAUAUUCCUUCUUG